rnacentral:rRNA from 1 species
UAAGGUGGCUAUAGCAACGGGGCUCACCUCUUCCCAUUCCGAACAGAGAAGUUAAGCCCGUUAGCGCAGAUGGUACUGCAUCCUUGUGGGAGAGUAUGUCGCCGCCUUGU